AUAACGUCCACGCUCGCGAGGGAAACAACCCAGAUCGUCAGCUAAGGUCCCAAAAUUGUGUUAAGUGAGAAAGGUUGUGAGAUUUCAUAAACAACUAGGAAGUUGGCUUAGAAGCAGCCACCUUUUAAAGAGUGCGUAAUUGCUCACUAGUCAAGAGAUCUUGCGCCAAUAAUGUAACGGGACUCAAACACAAUACCGAAGCUACGGGCACAUUAUGUGCGUUAGGAGAGCGUUUUAAUUUCGUUGAAGUCAGACCGUGAGGACUGGUGGAGAGAUUAAAAGUGAGAAUGCCGGCAUGAGUAACGAUUCGAAG
rnacentral:rRNA from 1 species